CAGUCGUACCGGCGGAAAAUCAGCUCUUCGAGUGUGAACUUGUGGGUGUACGUGAGCUUUAACCGGCCUCGUUGUUUGCAUAUUCGUGCACAUUUGGUGUACUUGUCCGUGUGGUGGGUUAACAUCAAUUUCGGUCGUCACAAAAUGAUUGGAGGAAUGUAGCUUUGGUCUCGUAUCGAAGUGUUAUAGACUCUGGUAGAUGUGACGAUUGGGGAUUGAGGAUUGCAACGGAUACCCUUCGGGGCUACCCGUCUGAUCUCUGAAGGUUGCUCCGGUGCCGAAAGCGUGCUUACGGUCAUCGAAAGUGAUUUUAC
rnacentral:rRNA from 1 species